GCGUCGGUGGUUCAGUGGUAGAAUACUCGACUACCACGUGGGUGACCCGGGUUCGAUUCCCGGCCCACGCA
rnacentral:tRNA from 1 species